AUAUAUAUAUAUAUAUAUAUAUAUAUAUGAUUUUAUAUAUUAUUCUAUAUUAGUUUAUUUUUAUAUUUAUAAAAAUUAUAAUUAUUUAUGAUAAUGACAUAAAUCUAAAAAAAAAUUAAUUUAGAGAAAAAAAUAUAAUAGCCGAAUUACGGAUAUUCUUCAUAAUUAUGAGUAUUUAUACUAAUAGCAUAAAAAAAUUUAAUUUAACAGCCGAAUUUUUUAUCCCGAAUUUUUACUUGGUGAACGUAUAAUAUUUGUAUAAAUCACAUAUCUGAAUAAUUGACGAAUCUGUUUUUUAACCGUAUUUUUUAACGAAUUUAAAAUUAAGAUACAAAUUUUAUCCGUAUUAUAUCCGUACCGAAUUUUUGCCGAAUCUAAAUUAACUAACUAUGAUCAGUUGCAGUUGACACAUAGUCAUUUCUCUAUCUCCCUUUGCAGUAGCGGUUAUUCAUACAAUUAUUACGGUUGUGUUCAACUCAGUUAUCAUUGCUAUUGCACAAAUUUGAUUGUUGUCUAUAGUUAGUUGUUGCCUUAUUAUCUCACUUUACAAUAGUAGCUUCUUUGGCGAUUAUCGGUGGACGUUAUUCAUUGUUAUUAUAUCUGAUUUUUUUUGUUACUACUAUUGUUUACCCUUCCAUUUGCCGGUGGGUACAGCUUGCGUUUGUCGACUUGUGAUACCCACUUGGAGGGGGAGAUUGUUUACAUGUUCUCACCCCCCACUUUUUUUUUUCAGGUAGCUCGGGAUGUGAAAGUCGGAACGGUGCGUGAGGACAUAGAUAGUGAGCUUGUGAUAUAGGUCUCGACUUACGAUAUCAUCUUUGGAUUCUUCUCAUAUUUUAUGUAUAUCACUAGAUAGACAUUGUUGAUAGUCCAGAUUCUACCCUUUUGUCACAAGAUAGUAGAUAGACGGUCGUGGUUUAGUUAUUGUUUAUCCAUGUGAGAAUUUGGUUACUCAUGAGAUUUUGGAUAUUUGUAGAUUUUGGAAACUUGAGGUUUCGAUUACUCGGGGUUUUGAAGUUUGAUUUCGAAUGAUAGAUUUCUACCCUUCGUGGUAGCUUGUUUACUUUAAAAUAAAGGUCUCCAUGUAGGAAAUAUUUUUCAAAGUGGUUUUUUCAGCUUUUCGUGAAUUUCAGAAAAUUAGAAUUUCAAAGUGAAGCUUUCAUGGGAGCGGGGCGCUUUAAACUAGUAGGAAUGAAUGUGAAAUUGAUGUGGAAUGGUUUGACUAGGGACGACUAGCUACAUGAUGUGAAACUUGUGGAAUGAUAAUCUUUGUGACUUGUGAUUUUUGUUUGUGUGAGUGGAGGUCAUUGUUGAUAAUUGUACAUGUGCCACGUUGUGCAAAUAGAUGAGAGACUCU
rnacentral:lncRNA from 1 species